UACGAAGGUCCCAAGCGUUAUCCGGAUUUAUUGGGUUUAAAGGGUGCGUAGGCGGGCUGUUAAGUCAGUGGUGAAAUCCUGUUGCCUAACAACAGAAUUGCCAUUGAUACUGACGGUCUUGAGUACAGUUGAGGUGGGCGGAAUGUGUCAUGUAGCGGUGAAAUGCUUAGAGAUGACACAGAACACCGAUUGCGAAGGCAGCUCACUAAAGUGUAACUGACGCUGAGGCACGAAAGCGCGGGGAGCAAACAGG
rnacentral:rRNA from 1 species